GAUGAACGCUGGCGGCGUGCCUAAUACAUGCAAGUCGAGCGAACGGACGAGACGCUUGCUUCUCUGAUGUUAGCGGCGGACGGGUGAGUAACACGUGGAUAACCUACCUAUAAGACUGGGAAAACUUCGGGAAACCGGAGCUAAUACCGGAUAAUAUUUUGAACCGCAUGGGUGAAAAGUGAAAGACGGUCGUGCCGGCGGUUGUAGAUGGAUCCGCGCUGCAUUAGCUUGUUGGUAAGGUAGCAGCUUACCAAGGCUAUGACGGGUAGCCGGCCUGAGAGGGGGACCGGCCACAUUGGGACUGAGAUACGGCCCAGACUCCUACGGGAGGCAGCAGUGGGGAAUAUUGCACAAUGGGCGGAAGCCUGAUGCAGCAACGCCGCGUGCGGGAUGACGGCCUUCGGGUUGUAAACCGCUUUCGCCUGUGACGAAGCGUGAGUGACGGUAAUGGGUAAAGAAGCACCGGCUAACUACGUG
rnacentral:rRNA from 1 species